UACGUAGGUGACAAGCGUUGUCCGGAUUUACUGGGCGUAAAGAGCGCGCAGGCGGUCGAUCAAGUCGAGUGUGAAAGCCCCCGGCUCAACUGGGGAGGGUCAUUCGAUACUGAUCGACUCGAAGGCAGGAGAGGGUAGUGGAAUUCCCGGUGUAGUGGUGAAAUGCGUAGAUAUCGGGAGGAACACCAGUGGCGAAGGCGGCGACCUGGACAGGUACUGACACUCAACUACGAAAGCGUGGGGAGCAAACAGG
rnacentral:rRNA from 1 species